rnacentral:rRNA from 1 species
AAUAAACGCUGGCGGCGUGCCUAAUACAUGCAAGUCGAGCGGCAUCGAGUUUUGCACCCAUUCUUUCAAUCUUACGAGAUGAAAGAAUGAGUGCAGAAUGUCGGCGAGCGGCGGACGGCAGAGUAACGCGUAGGAAUGUACCCCAAAGUGAGGGAUAACUGCUCGAAAGAGUAGCUAAUACCGCAUGUGAUCUUCGGAUUAAAGCUUCGGCGCUUUGGGAACAGCCUGCGUAAGAUUAGCUAGUUGGUGAGGUAAUGGCUCACCAAGGCGACGAUCUUUAGCUGGUCUGAGAGGAUGAUCAGCCUGACUGGAACUGAGACACGGUCCAGACUCCUACGGGGGCAGCAGUGGGGAUCUUGCACAAUGGCGAAAGCCUGAUGCAGCGACGCCGCGUGAGCGAAGAAGGCCUUCGGGUUGUAAAGCUCUGUCUGGAGGGACGAAGGAAGUGACGGUACCGUCCGGAGGAAGCCAC